rnacentral:rRNA from 1 species
UACGGGGGGGGCAAGCGUUGUUCGGAAUUACUGGGCGUAAAGGGCUCGUAGGCGGCCAACUAAGUCAGACGUGAAAUCCCUCGGCUUAACCGGGGAACUGCGUCUGAUACUGGAUGGCUAGAGGUUGGGAGAGGGAUGCGGAAUUCCAGGUGUAGCGGUGAAAUGCGUAGAUAUCAGGAGGAACACCAAUGGCGAAGGCAGCUCGCUGGGACGGUACUGACGCUGAGACGCGAAAGCGUGGGGAGCAAACAGG